GAGGAGGAAGAGCAAAGGGAAGAGUGAAGAAGAGGAGGAGGAAGAGGAAUGGCAAAGGGAAGAGAGAGAAGAGGGAGAAGGAAGAGGAGGAGGAGAUUAUGCAUGACACUUGUUAAAAUUGAACACUGAGACGAUAUUAGCAGCCCAGUUCUUCAUUUGAGAAGACCAAAGCACAGAGGGGCUAAGUGAUUUGCCCGGGCCCACACAGCUGGGUUGUUGCUGAGCCAGCAUUUGAAACCAGAUUGUAGGAACGACUGCACCAGAGCCAAAAGAUUAAGAGUUAUCACAACUUGCCAUUUAAUUGGUUCAGCGCAUCCUGGCAACCACGAACUACAUCCUUGAAUCUCAGCUUGGACUUGGCAUCAUUCAGGGUCCUACCAAGAGAAUCAAAACCACUUCAGGCCUCCACCACUAGUCUCCCAUGAAUGACUCUCCUUGUCAGGGCCCGGAUGGGAGCCAGCUGACAUGCAAGUCUGGGAACUGCAGCCUGCAGAGAUCAACAACCCCACAGAGUCACAGAGCAGAGCAGCACACAGAAGAAAAGGCAAUGUGAAGACAAGACAGAGGCAGGAUGGAGGUGAUGCCACCACAAGCCAAGGAAUGCUGGCAGCUGCUGGAAGCUAGAGGAGACAGGGAACAAAUUCUCUGCUAGAGCCUCCAGAGGAAGGACAGCCCUGUCCACAUCUUGAUUUCAGAAGUCUGGCCUCCAGAACUGCGAAAGAAUACAUGACUGUUAUCUUAAGCUACAAGUCUGUGUACUGUGCUCCUCCAUCGUAUUCCCAAAACAGCAUCCCUGGCUUCUGUCCCGUGCCCAUUGUCCUUUCAAAGCAGCUUAUUGCAUUGUCUUAUCUGUCCUACCAGGCUGACCUCCUUGAGGGCAGAAUUAGAUCUUGGAGAGAGAGUGUCCUAGUUCUCAACAUUGUGACAGGUAUAUAAUGGAUGACAAAUAAAUAUUAACUUGACUUUAGGUUUUAAGUCACUUGACUUUAGCUUUUUAACUUCUGAAAUGCCUGGAGGGUGGAGACUGGACUCCUAAUGGAUUGUCUUCCCUGGAACUGCUGUGAGCUCUGGGAAGCAGUCACUGUCACCCCCACCUCAAGGAGACUUCCUUUCUCUUCCCUUCCUUUGGAUAGCACUGCCACUCUCCCAACAGCAGGAUGGAAUCCUUAGGGAGUCAUCUUCCAAUUUUUCCUUCUGAUUGCCUCUUCUGUUGGUUCUUUCCUUGGAAUCACUCUCACGUGAGGUUUGUCCUUUCAGCUCCCUUCUUUGAGAAAAAAAGUACAUCAUGACAGCAACCACGUGGAGGCAGUCCUAGUGCUUUGGUAGAAGCACUCACAAUUUUUCUACAGCCUCAACCUCCUGGACUUCGUAAAUGAACUGCAAACCUUACAAACGGAAUUUAAUGUUCAAAUCCAAGAUACUGA
rnacentral:lncRNA from 1 species